CUCCUGGUAAUGGGCUUCCGGUUGAGAAAAUUCCUGAAGAAAAUUCAGAUUUUGAUCGUGCAGUUUCGUUGUCCUUGAAGACAGCAGAACAAGAGAAAGCAAUACGUGAGAUGCAGCUGAACGACAGGAAUCAAGAUCCAGGAGUUUAUAGUACACGGAAGCAAGGAAGGUCAUCACAGCAAAAUGGAGCUGAAGUUGUAGAGCAGCAAUUAGUUAGUGAAGAAUCUAAGCGU